ACAGAAGCUGUGGAAGGCGCCAUCCUGCCUGCCACAGGAAGGGCCUUGGACUGAGAGGACCGGAGCUGACUGGGGGUAAGUGCGGCUCUCCCCCGGCGCCUGCCGACCCCCCUGAGUGAUCAGGCCGUUCUUUGGGGUGGCCGCUGACCGAGAAAUGACGGGAGGCUGCUGACUCCGGUGUUGAAAAAGAUGCCACCCAGCGCCUGAGCAACAGGAGGUGUUGAACACACCAUAACUUUGUCUUCCAUGAUUAUUCUGUUUCCUCAGAAAGCUUGAGGAAAACUGGAGACUUUCUUUAGAGAGAGUAACAGAUGGUUUCCGUUUAAAGAAAAAUAACAAAAUGGCUUAAGGAGGAAAAGAAAUGAUCACCCUGCAGAGGGAGAGAGGAUGAGGCUGGGGAGGAGCUGAGGGCUCAGGGACGGUGUGGGGUUUUAUUUCUGCCCUUGGAGUGGCUGGACAUUAAGCCAGUUCUUGUUUUUACGAUGGCCUGAUUCAGCAAUAACACCAAACCUUCAAACAAAAUGCCGGCAUUAGAGUCGUUCCUUUGGCAUGCCUCUGUCCAGGUCAUAUUGUUCCCUCAAUAGCACUAAAAAUAGCUGGACACCUGUGCA
rnacentral:lncRNA from 10 species